rnacentral:rRNA from 1 species
GUUGCUAACAGUUCGGCUGAGAACUCUAAACAGACUGCCUGGGUAACCAGGAGGAAGGUGAGGACGACGUCAAGUCAUCAUGGCCCUUACGUCCAGGGCUACACACGUGCUACAAUGGUCGGUACAAAGAGCAGCGAAGCCGCGAGGUGGAGCCAAUCUCAAAAAGCUGGCCACAGUCCGGAUUGGAGUCUGCAACUCGACUCCAUGAAGCUGGAAUCGCUAGUAAUCGUAGAUCAGCAAUGCUACGGUGAAUACGUUCCCGGGUCUUGUACUCACCGCCCGUCACACCAUGGGAGUUGAUUUCAUUCGAAGCGGGGAUGCUAAAGUAGCUACCCUCCACAGUGGAAUUAGCGACUGGGGUGAAGUCGUAACAAGGUAACCGUAGGAGAACCUGCGGUUGGAUCACCUCCUUUCAGA